UACGUAGGGUGCGAGCGUUGUCCGGAAUUAUUGGGCGUAAAGGGCUCGUAGGCGGUUUGUCGCGUCGGGAGUGAAAACGCCGUGCUUAACACGGCGCUUGCUUUCGAUACGGGCAGACUAGAGGUAUGCAGGGGAGAACGGAAUUCCUGGUGUAGCGGUGAAAUGCGCAGAUAUCAGGAGGAACACCGGUGGCGAAGGCGGAUCUCUGGGCCUUACCUGACGCUGAGGCGCGAAAGCUAGGGGAGCGAACAGG
rnacentral:rRNA from 1 species